rnacentral:rRNA from 1 species
UACGAGGGGGGCGGGCGUUGUUCGGAAUUAUUGGGCGUAAAGGGCGCGUAGGCGGUCGGAUAAGUCUUGUGUGAAAUCUCCGGGCUCAACUCGGAGUCUGCACGAGAAACUAUCUGGCUUGAGUGUGGGAGAGGUGAGUGGAAUUCCUGGUGUAGCGGUGAAAUGCGUAGAUAUCAGGAGGAACACCUGUGGCGAAAGCGGCUCACUGGACCGCAACUGACGCUGAGGCGCGAAAGCUAGGGGAGCAAACAGG